rnacentral:rRNA from 1 species
CGCGUAGGCGGACUCUUAAGUCGGGGUGAAAGCCCAGGGCUCAACCCUGGAAUUGCCUUCGAUACUGAGAGUCUUGAGUUCGGAAGAGGUUGGUGGAACUGCGAGUGUAGAGGUGAAAUUCGUAGAUAUUCGCAAGAACACCAGUGGCGAAGGCGGCCAACUGGUCCGAUACUGACGCUGAGGCGCGAAAGCGUGGGGAGCAAACA